rnacentral:lncRNA from 1 species
CCUGCUAGUUUGGCUUCCUCAACAUGGCGGCGCCCUUAUGUGUGGAGGUGGAGUUCGGAGGUGGUGCGGAGCUCCUGUUUGAUGGGGUAAAAAAGCAUCAAGUCACCUUGCCUGGGCAGGAGGAACCCUGGGAUAUCCGGAACCUCCUUGUCUGGAUCAAGACGAAUUUGCUAAAAGAGCGGCCAGAGCUAUUCAUCCAGGGAGACAGUGUGUGAGUUCCCAUCCCCAAUCACUGAGCAGGGCAGAGGGGGGAAGGCUUGUCUAAGUCCGUGUCUUGGGUCUCUGAAUGUCUCAUCCCCCUGAGUCCUCUGGCCCAUAUUUUCUUGAACUCCUCUGAAGAUAGAGCUGUGCUCAGGUCUGUUUCUAUUUGUCUACUACCACACUAGGCGUUUUAGGCUCUUAAAGACCCCUAUGAAACACACACCUUUAAUCCCAGCACUUGGGAGUCAGAGGCAGGCAGAUCUCUGAGUUUGAGGUGAACCUGGUCUAUGGAGCGAGUUUCAGGACCACCAGGACUACAUAAAGAAAUAAUGUUCGUAGUCUCAAAAAGCAAAACAGAAGCAAGAAAACCCAUAUGAAAGGAGCUUGGUAAAAUUUCCCCAAAACGUGGG